rnacentral:lncRNA from 1 species
UUAUUUUUAUCCUAUGGAUUUUCCUAUUAUAUUUAAACUUGCUCUUUUAGUUUGUUUUUAGAGCUCUCCUCAAGAAACAUACUCUUUGUUUUUAACGCUCAAUCCUUUUUUAUUCUUUGUAGAAACUAGUGGUCUCCUAUUAAGUAAAUAGAUGUGGGUCUCAUUAGAGGGAUCCAUUCUAAAACAGAAGAGGACAACACUCAGGGAGGGCUGCAAUGAGACAGAGAAUCCUGAGAUUGUUCCUCAUGUGCAGAUCUUCACCUGGGGCUGCAGAAGACUGUACAGCUAUAGACAAAAUAAUGAUAAGGUACAGAUGUCGUGGAAAGCCAGAACAUAGGAGUGAAUCCAUCCUACAGUCUGAAGGCGGAAACAAAGCCAUAAAUGGGGUUGGGGGAGAAACCCUGUGGUAAGAAUCUGUAGAGAUGAGGAAAAAAUUGUAGGAUUUAAGGUAGGUUAGGAACUGGCAGUUCAGAGCAAUGCCAGGGUAUUAGAAACUCACUCUCGUGUCAUCUAAGUUUCCCAAUAUAGGAUUGAGUGGACCUCAUCAUAUUAGCCACAUUCAAGGAAUAUAUGUAUGUUAUAGAAGUCAAUGGUUACAUUAAAAUAUUAAGUUUGAACACAAGUUCUAAUUUAUUUUUAUCAUUAUUUCUUAAUAGCAAUUAAUUCUUUGGGGCUUCAAUUACUGACUGUAUUCCAAACGGUUACCAACAGUUCACUUCUUUUAUUGCAGAACUUACACCAUUUCCAAAUAACCAAUGUAAAUUUUUACCUCGGAUAUUAUUUUGUUACCCGCAAACAACAAAUGUGAAUUUAGAUUUAUCAUCUUCGUCGGGGACUGAAUUUCCCCUGUAAUAUUGUUUUUUGUUGAUUUGUUUGUUUUGUAGUGGCAUCCCCUGCCCCUAUGUACCUAUGUUUGAUUUAUCUUUUAUUUCCUUCUUUUAUACUUAAACCUUAAGGUGGAUUGGAAAGUUGAUAUCAGUGACACAAAGUUUAGUUGAUUGGGUACUUUACAUUUCUACUUGACUUUGUACAUUUCUGAUUUAUAUGAACAACAAGCAACUCAGACUAAGCCUCCUUCAUUGCCCUAAGAGGUCUACUAUAUUUCUAGUGAUUUUACCUAGGGGAUCUAUACAUGUACUAACAGUAGAAAUUAGAGGUGCAACACUACUGGCCAGAAUAUAGCAACAUCCUAAGUACAUUAAUAAUGUGUAAAGUGCCCAGCAUGUAAGGCACAAAUAAAAAUAGGGAAUGUCAUUUUAUUAAAUUAUCAGAAGUUAUGGGUCACAUUCAAACAGAAAUAUUCUAAGAAAUUCAAUUCUAAGAAAUUCAACUUACUUUUAAUGUCAAUGUUUCUGAAAUUGGUAAACAUCAUUGACGUCAAAAAGCCUUCUAUGCAUGAAAUAAAUUAUACUUGUCAUUUCUGAGCUUAUGGUAACAUGGUCAAGAAUUAAAGGUAUAUUCAUCUGACUUCUGUUUCAUCAGGCUGCUAUUUGAGAAGGGUUAUUUGCCUUAGUACCAUCAGCAGUGGUUGAAUUUUAUAUUUGGUUCUGCAUUUGUCAUUUAAAAUGUCCACAAAAAGAUAACCCCCUUAAGGAGCAUUAGAACUAGAAGUUACUGUGAACCUAGACGAUCGCCUGUUUUUUGCCAUCUAGCAUAAUGAAGGUCGUAGUAUUGCCAAAGUUUUUCGAAUUCACUGUAGUUUUUUCAAAACUAGAUAAAAACUCUGACCAAUUUUUGAGUCCUGGGGGACUAUCACUUCAGCCAUAAACACAAACAAGUUAACUAGAAUUUAACGAAAUAGUAAAUGGAGAAAAAAAUUCUAGAAUUACCUGAUUUGUUUCUAAAUUAUACUGUUGCUCCUAAAAAUGUUAAGAAAUUAGGGUCGUGAGCACUGUUGGUCACUAUGAUGAUAUGCUUACCCACUGAUGGUCAAAAUUUAUC